rnacentral:snRNA from 1 species
GUGCCACUUCAGCAGCACAUACAGUGAAACAGGAACAAUACAGAGAAGAUUAGCAUGGUCUCUACACAAGGAUGACACUCAAACUUAUGAAGUUUCUACAUAUUUUU